AAGAAAUUUCAGGUCCUGACAUUCCUGUCAAUCUCAUAAGAAGCUAUUCUCCAUUCAGCCCCUGGCAAGAGGUCACUCACCUGUUCCAGAGAGCCCCCGAUAUGAUCAGAGAAAGCUUCAGAACCGUCUUGCUCUGCUGCUACUCUCACCCUGAGAAGAUCCUCAGUCUGACUCCUGGCAAUGUGGUAACACAGCUCGGAGAACCAGAAGGGCACUCCAUUCGCAAUAGUGACAGCUGCCAUAGGGUUUCAGCAUUUCGGAGUCUUACCAAACAUUAGCAAGCUUAUUGUCGUCAUACUAUCCAUGGACAUUAUGGGAGCCAGCAAUUUGUUGUCUAAUGUUCAAGUCAAAAUAAUACAAUAUGUCAAAGCUUUAUAUGGGCUAAUGUUUGUUCCUCAUUUCACAGUAUUUUCACAAUCUCCACUUCAAUGUCUUUCUGCAGACCAAAAAAAAAAAAAAAAAUCUUAUGACAAGUGAAUCUUCAUUCUAAGCAGUGAAAGAAAGGAAAUGUACAAAUAUCAUAUUUACCUAUGCAGUUAAAGAUGUUUUAUCCUUGAAGAUCUCAAUAUAGAGACUGUAUCUUUUCCUUGCUGGCUCUUACAGACUUGCAAUAGGCAGCAACAGCUCAUAAAUACUACAAAAUUAUUCAGCUUUUUAAGGUGCUGCUCCCAAGAUACUAUUGCUUACAUCUGAUACUGUUAGCUGUAUUUCUUCCCAAAUGCCUGGCAUCAAUAUGAUAUAAUACCA
rnacentral:lncRNA from 10 species